UUCACUUCUACGUUUUUGAUUACUUGUUAUUUCGGGCUUAACAUGCAUAGAUAGUUUUUGUUUUUGUUGUUGCAUUUAUACAAUGAAAAUCAUAACUUGUGUCACUUUCAAGUUUGUAUUAUUUCCUUGCAAGGCAUAAGGAUACAAGAAAUUGUAAGAAAAACAUAAGGCCCUGUGUUUUGUUUGAUGGCUUUGUCAUUUGUGUGACAUUGUUGCAAUUUGAGAGCUUUUUCACCCCAUACUGCACACAAUUCGUUGGGGGCUAAUUUUACGUAUGGUCACUGAACAUUUUACUUAAUUCCAUUAUGAUCGCUGGGGAAACUUUCAUGCCAUAGAAAUCAAAUGAUUUCUCCUUAGUCAUAAUUUGAGCUGGUAAAAGCUGCUUACAUGGGACCAUUUUCUUUCCCUCACCUCUCACUACCACCAUAACCAGCCUUUAAAUCAAAACCCACUAACCCAUAAACCUUAAACAACAACUUUUUCACCAGCUUUACCUCUUGUUCCCACCUCUACCUCCUUUCUCUGUCUCACCAGCACCUCCUUUGCAAAUGUAUUCUCCAAAUUUUUUGUUCUUAAAUAGCAUGAGUGAUAUUAAAAUUUUGGAUUUGAUUAAAGCAAUGCAUGCCCAGAAGAUAAAAACAUGCAACAAGUGGAACUCUGAUUCCACGGCAAAAAACCUUGAUCACUUCUUACUUGGAGCUUGGUAAUUUUAGGCUGGCUGCAAUUGUUUUCUUCAUGGGUUUUGCACAAAAUUAUGUUGUGUGGAAUUCUUUCUAGGAGGAAUUUAGGGGUUAUGGGGGUGAUUGAAUUGAAGGUCUGGAGGUUUUUUGAGAAUUGCAUUAUAAAGGAGUGAAGAUUGAUAAUAGAAUGGGUACUAUAAUUUUGAAAAUUUUCACAAGAAAUGGGUUAAUAGCUGAGUUUGCAAGUCCAUGCUAAUUUGAUCAAGUGGGACUUUGAAUUGGAUAAUUAUGCACUUUUGAAUUACUAUGAGACAUGAGAUGCUGGACUAUGGAAAGACUUUGAAUUGGAUAAUUAUGCACUUUUGAAUUACUAUGAGACAUGAGAUGCUGGACUAUGGAAAGUCUUAAUUAAGUGUUUCAUGAGAUGUCAGAUCGAGAAGAUCUCAUGGAAUGAGGCAAUUAUUAUCAACU
rnacentral:misc_RNA from 1 species